rnacentral:lncRNA from 1 species
UAUCAUCCAAAAUAUUUAAUUUUAUAUUAUUAUCAUAAAAAAGAAUUCAUACAAGAUUUGAAUAUAGUCAAAAUUCAACAACUGCUCUAUCUAUACUAUUAUGCCUUACAAAAAUACUAAACAUAUUAAAUAUGCAACUAGCUAGCCAUAUGGUACAACUUUUCUUGUGAAUUCACAAGCCUCUUCAGCUCAACGUACGGCUCAUUUAAUCCACCACAAACCUGCCACAAAAUCAUACAAAGAGCCAAUCAAGAAUCACAAUGUAGAGCAUCAUGAUAAACACUUAAAAAGCAUAUUAAAGUGAUUGGUAAAAUGAUCCAACGAAGGACAAAACCUAUUAAGUUACUAAGCACUAAAUACUCCAAAUAAAUUGUGUGGAAUAAAAGAAAAGCACCCAUCAAAGAUUGCUCAUGUCUAAAAAAGAUACAUAUCUAAAAAGUAUACUAUUAGAUAAUAAGCAUACUAAAAAAAAUUAAGUUAAAAAAGAUAAUUUCAUUGAGCAAUAAUAAGGUAGCCUAUACCUAUACCUAACUUGAUAAUAUAUGGGGUUUUAACGCAUGCCUAGACAAAUAAUUUGUUUAAUUAAAACAACAGACUGCAGAAACUAAAGUUGAAAUUCUAACUAAAGUUAAAAACUCACAUACCACUUCAAACUAUAGUGACAAUAUGCACAUCAACAGCAGCAAAGUAGAUAAUAGUAUUUCAAAAAACAAAAUAAUGAGCAGAAGACGUCUUAGCAUCAACCCCCUCUCAUCUCUAACUUUCAACGAGUAAUUAUAAUUCCUCUAGCUCACUCUAACUUAAUACAUGCACAUUUUAUUCAGUUUCCAUAUUAUAUAAACAUAAUUAAUCACUAUGAUCCUAAAUCUUAUGACACGUGCAGAUUGGAAAUGCAAAACAACACAAGUACUGCUGCUGCUGCUACAGCCGCGGUCGCGGCCCCUGCUCCCGCCCCCAAGAACCAUGUAAAACAAAAAACAUUGAAAAGGAAUUGCCUUCAGUCAUAUCCAGUUCACCAAACAUAAAAGGUAAGAUUGUAAAUAUAGCACAUAAUUAGAGACUAGUGAUCACCUCCACUAUAUAUUGCAGAUAACUUUUGGGCUCAAUUUUAGGAAUUCCCAAUAAAGAUUGAAAACAGAUAAGUUAAUGCACCAGAUAUAGGCAAGAUAAGUAGCAUGAUAGCAAAUAUGACUCAUAAAAUAGAACUUAUAACUUAUAAGCUCACCAAAAAACCCUCUACAGAUUGCUUUUAUCAAAUCAUAAAAAGCAAAUCCUAAAAGCUGCAAUUUUGUAACCUUUACCACCAUGAGUUUUGAACCAGCAGAAUAAGGAAAAUGUCAAUGCACAUGUAGAAGCAAAGUUUUCAUGAGGAAGCAAGUUUUUCUUGGCAUCAAGACAUCUGCUACAGAGAAAUUGUUAUUCUCCAGUAGAAACUAUUUGGAUUUGCUCCUCAUUGAGUGCUUAAUAUUAAUGUACCUCUCUAACAAUUCUUCUACCUCCUUUAAUCUCCUUGUUGCUUCAAGAGUUAAUGCAAGCCGUUCAGCUACAACAAUGAUAUCCAAAGAUUUCCAACCCUGUGGCAUAAUAUACUUUAACCAUUAUUUAAAAAAUAAGUUCAUAUUCCCAGUUAAAACAACAAAGUAAUUGGAAGAGAUAGAUAAUAAGUACAAAAUGUCACCAAGCUACAAUGAAGUUGAAAGAUCUUGUAGAAUAGAUAAUAAUAAAAUAACAGAAGAUGAUAAACCUUUCAUAAUCUUUCUCAAUAUAUUCUCAGCUUCAACAAAUCUGUUGGACUUGUUGUAUAUCUACAAUCACCUGGAAAAGAUAUACAACUGGAUUAUGUUCCGCUUCUCUUGAAACAAAUAAUAUGAAUUUCAGGUGAUUUCAUGAUCGAAUAAAGAUACUAUCAUAUUAUGGUAAAACAUAGCCAUGCUAUAAUUCAAUAGAGCAUAUUACCUUCCCACAAUUCUCAUAAUGGCAAACAUAUUGUAUCUUCUCCAGUAUGCUUAAAAGAGCCAAACCCAAGAUCACAAUCCCGCAGGCAACUCCAUAGAGUCAAUAUGCUGUCUAACUAGGUCAAAACAAGAAACAUAUUGAUAUUGAAGUAAUGAGACCAACCUGGGGGACAAAGUGGCAAUUAAGAGAAAUGUGUACAUUGAAAAACUUCAGGAUUAAACUAACAACGAUGGGCUCUAUAUGGCAAACCUAAUAUUACAUGUUGAGCCAUCAUAUUAAACAAUAAUUCUACUUAAAUCAAGAAAUGUGGGGUCCAAAUGUAGCCAAAAUAAGUGUAACUACUGAGCAACGAUGAACAUCUCCAAGAGAAAGCAUAAUGAUAGAGGAGAAAUCCAUCCACCAUCGUCCUUAACUAUCUUUAAUUUCCCAGAUAUGUUACAACAUUCACCACAAGAAACUAACUAAAACAAAUUAAUUAAAUAAAACCAACCUUCAUAUUUCAAGCUCUUGUUCCAAAUUUCUCUAUCAAAACUCCCAAAGAAUCAAUGAUUCCAGCAGGUGCAGAUGCAGGUUUAUUAAUGUCAGCAGGUGCUUCACUUCAAUAGUUCAUAAAAUUAGGGCUGGGAAUUGGAAGAAUUGAGAGAGCAACAAAAUUGAGUUCCUAACCAUCUCAUUUUGGGCUUUCCACCGCCAAUCUGAUUCUACAACUUCAACAAUGACAAAAAAUUUAAUAAAAAAACAAUGACAGAAACAACAACAUUUAACGAUAAAAAAAAUAGUAAAAACUAAAAAUUAAAAAUAAAAUUAGUGAAAACCAAAUUUGAAAUUAAAGAGAAUGAGAGGAUGGCGGAGCAAGAUAGAGGGAGAGAUAGGAGAGCACAGGCGGCGAUGACCGUCGGCGCUGCAUGCGCCGCCGCAGCUCGCAGCGGCUGCAGAGAACAGGAGAGAUGGAGAUCGAGAGGGAGAGCAGAGAAAGGGAGAGAGAAAUAGAUCUUGAGAGAGAGAGAGAGAAAAAAGGUGUUACCUGAGGCAGAGAGCAACUGUGCGAGGCGGUGACAGUGGCGGGACUCACCGGAGGGGCAAAAUUCAGAGAUGAAAGGGAGGCUGAAAACCCUAGAAAUUGGGGAUUUUGUUCUUGGGGAAGAAAUAGGGCACAAAAGGCAAGGAGAGAAGGAGGAAGAAGAACAGGCGCUGACCUCGUCGCGCCAGAGGGAGGCGGCGAUUCAUGGCGGCUGCG